GAUGAACGCUGGCGGCGUGCCUAAUACAUGCAAGUCGAACGCUGGAAAUCUAGCUUGCUCGAUUGAAGGAGUGGCGAACGGGUGAGUAAUACAUAAGCAACCUACCCACGAAGACUGGGAUAAUCUCUGGAAACAGGGACUAAUACCGGAUAGGUAAUCGGAAGGCAUCUUCUGAUUAUUAAAGGUUAAAAACACUGGUGGAUGGGCUUAUGGCGCAUUAGUUAGUUGGUGAGGUAACGGCCCACCAAGACGAUGAUGCGUAGCCGGCCUGAGAGGGUGAACGGCCACAUUGGGACUGAGACACGGCCCAGACUCCUACGGGAGGCAGUAGUAGGGAAUUUUCGGCAAUGGGGGAAACCCUGACCGAGCAACGCCGCGUGAGUGAUGACGGCCUUCGGGUUGUAAAGCUCUGUUGUAAGGGAAGAACGGUAGAUAGAGAAUAUCUAAAUGACGGUACCUUACCAGAAAGCCACGGCUAACUACGUG
rnacentral:rRNA from 1 species